rnacentral:rRNA from 1 species
AGCGCCUAACACAUCGCAAGUCGAACCGAGGUCCAACCUUCGGGUGAAGACCGAGUGGCGAACGGGUGAGUAACACGUGGGGAACCUGCCCUUCUCUCUGGGAUAACGUCGAGAAAUCGGUGCUAAUACCGGAUACUCCUUGCGGAUCGCAUGGUCUGCUCGGGAAAGCUCCGGCGGAGAGGGAUGGCCCCGCGGCCCAUUAGCUAGUUGGUGAGGUAAUGGCCCACCAAGGCGACGAUGGGUAGCCGAGCUGAGAGGCUGAUCGGCCACACUGGGACUGAGACACGGCCCAGACUCCUACGGGAGGCAGCAGUGGGGAAUUUUGCACAAUGGGCGAAACCUGAUGCAGCAACGCCGCGUGCGGAUGAAGGCCCUCGGGUUGUAAACCGCUUUCAGCAGGGACGAAUAUGACGGUACUGCAGAGAAGCCCGGCUAACUACGUGCCAGCAGCCGCGGUAAU